AGAGUUUGAUCAUGGCUCAGAUUGAACGCUGGCGGCAGGCCUAACACAUGCAAGUCGAGCGGUAGCACAGAGAGCUUGCUCUCGGGUGACGAGCGGCGGACGGGUGAGUAAUGUCUGGGAAACUGCCUGAUGGAGGGGGAUAACUACUGGAAACGGUAGCUAAUACCGCAUAAUGUCGCAAGACCAAAGUGGGGGACCUUCGGGCCUCAUGCCAUCAGAUGUGCCCAGAUGGGAUUAGCUUGUAGGUGGGGUAACGGCUCACCUAGGCGACGAUCCCUAGCUGGUCUGAGAGGAUGACCAGCCACACUGGAACUGAGACACGGUCCAGACUCCUACGGGAGGCAGCAGUGGGGAAUAUUGCACAAUGGGCGCAAGCCUGAUGCAGCCAUGCCGCGUGUGUGAAGAAGGCCUUCGGGUUGUAAAGCACUUUCAGCGGGGAGGAAGGCGGUGAGGUUAAUAACCUCAUCGAUUGACGUUACCCGCAGAAGAAGCACCGGCUAACUCCGUGCCAGCAGCCGCGGUAAUACGGAGGGUGCAAGCGUUAAUCGGAAUUACUGGGCGUAAAGCGCACGCAGGCGGUCUGUCAAGUCGGAUGUGAAAUCCCCGGGCUCAACCUGGGAACUGCAUUCGAAACUGGCAGGCUAGAGUCUUGUAGAGGGGGGUAGAAUUCCAGGUGUAGCGGUGAAAUGCGUAGAGAUCUGGAGGAAUACCGGUGGCGAAGGCGGCCCCCUGGACAAAGACUGACGCUCAGGUGCGAAAGCGUGGGGAGCAAACAGGAUUAGAUACCCUGGUAGUCCACGCCGUAAACGAUGUCGAUUUGGAGGUUGUGCCCUUGAGGCGUGGCUUCCGGAGCUAACGCGUUAAAUCGACCGCCUGGGGAGUACGGCCGCAAGGUUAAAACUCAAAUGAAUUGACGGGGGCCCGCACAAGCGGUGGAGCAUGUGGUUUAAUUCGAUGCAACGCGAAGAACCUUACCUGGUCUUGACAUCCACAGAACUUUCCAGAGAUGGAUUGGUGCCUUCGGGAACUGUGAGACAGGUGCUGCAUGGCUGUCGUCAGCUCGUGUUGUGAAAUGUUGGGUUAAGUCCCGCAACGAGCGCAACCCUUAUCCUUUGUUGCCAGCGGUUCGGCCGGGAACUCAAAGGAGACUGCCAGUGAUAAACUGGAGGAAGGUGGGGAUGACGUCAAGUCAUCAUGGCCCUUACGACCAGGGCUACACACGUGCUACAAUGGCAUAUACAAAGAGAAGCGACCUCGCGAGAGCAAGCGGACCUCAUAAAGUAUGUCGUAGUCCGGAUUGGAGUCUGCAACUCGACUCCAUGAAGUCGGAAUCGCUAGUAAUCGUAGAUCAGAAUGCUACGGUGAAUACGUUCCCGGGCCUUGUACACACCGCCCGUCACACCAUGGGAGUGGGUUGCAAAAGAAGUAGGUAGCUUAACCUUCGGGAGGGCGCUUACCACUUUGUGAUUCAUGACUGGGGUGAAGUCGUAACAAGGUAACCGUAGGGGAACCUGCGGUUGGAUCACCU
rnacentral:rRNA from 1 species